rnacentral:piRNA from 1 species
AACGAUAAGAAGCGGCAGUUCUGCGGUA